UCCCAUCAACCUGCACAAUCAGCUUGCAAUGGGGAAAUGUCCAACGCAUAGAUCAAACGUCCAGAACAUCCGAUAGAAGACUCUUUUUCCCAGUUGUAGUUGGUCGUUCGGGCCAUAAUAA
rnacentral:pre_miRNA from 1 species